GGUCCCAUAGCUUAGACUGGCUGGAGCGCCCGGCUGAUAACCGGGAGGUCAUGAGGUCGAAUCUCAUUGGGACCACCA
rnacentral:tRNA from 1 species